rnacentral:rRNA from 1 species
CCCUUAGACGUUCUGGGCCGCACGCGCGCUACACUGACCAGUGCAACAAGCAUCCGUCCUUGGCCGACAGGCUCGGGCAAUCUUUGAACGCCGGUCGUGAUGGGGAUAGACUUUUGCAAUUUUUGGUCUUCAACGAGGAAUUCCUAGUAAACGCAAGUCAUCAACUUGCAUUGAUUACGUCCCUGCCCUUUGUACACACCGCCCGUCGCACCUACCGAUUGAAUGGUCCGGUGAAGCCUCCGGAUUGGCGCGCACCUCGGUGCCGCCGAGAAGUUGGCUAAACCUUACCAUUUAGAGGAAGGUGAANUCGUANCA